rnacentral:lncRNA from 1 species
AAGUCUGCAUUUGCAUGGACUGUAGUUUUCUGUAAUGGUCUCCAUCUGUUUCAAAGACAAGUUUCCUUGGUCACAAAUGAGGACACAUACUUAUCUGUGGGCAUAAUGAGAAAUAUUUAGAAGGUAGUUAAAGGCUAUGUUGCCUCAGGGAAGUGGUGGUUGUAGGUUCCCCUCCAAGAUCCAUGUGACUCACUAGCCUUGUGUGUUCACUGGGUUUCUGCAACCCGGAGACUUUUUAAAACAACAUUCAUCAGCAACCUUUAUGGCAAACUUAGUAUUUAUUAAAUGUGAUUUUUGUCACCUGGUGAUUUUCAUACAAAUCUAAUAACCUAAAAGUAAAGUUGUUUUUUUUUUUUAAAGUGGUACGUUGUAAAAAACAAUGUACCACAUAUUCAUUUCUAGGAAAUGAAAUCAAGAAACCAGCAGUUUGGGGAAAUAUUUUUCUUUUAUUUUGAUGGAGAAGCCAAGCUUUAAAAGAUCACUUAAAAUUAAUGGGAAAAUUAAUUUUCCAAGAGAGUUUGACUAUGUCUUCAUUUUAAUAAUGAAAAUAAUUGCCUAGCUUGCAGGACUAUAAGUGAUUGCCUGUCUGGGCAAACUCACUCCAAUCAAUUCUGUGAUAUUCAUCUUAAUAUCAUUGGAAUCUCUGCGUUAACAUCACAGUAAUGUUCUACAAGGUCAGAGCAUAACAAUGUCACUAAGGUUUGUUGAUUUCCAAGAGAAAACCAAACUUGCAAUAAUUCAGGUUAAGUCACAGAAUUAUACAUCUGUUGGGUCUACUUUCUUCUUCUUUGUGUGAAGUGGUGAAAAGGGAGCAGUAAUCUGAAACUUCAGAGAUAAGAACGUGGUCUGAGAAAAGUAUGUCCCAUUUCCGGUAACCCUUGUACAGCCAGAACUAAGGGCAUUUCCCUGGUCUCAGCUUGUCAGCCAUUCACAGGGGAUGCCUGGUCAGUGGAGGUGGCUGGCAGUAAUAGUGAAUUGGAAUUUGUGCUGAUCUACUGAGAGCUGAGCUCUCUCUGUCUUUCUUACCUCUUCCUGUGGUGACUGUUAGAUACCCAGUUACGGAAACUGCACAGAGUUGUUGCCUAAAACUUUCAGUUAUCUAUGGCAUCUUGGCUCCAUUUAUGUCUUAGAUGAUGCGAAUGCAAAAGAGUUCAAUGAUUUGUUCUCCUUUUAUGCUGAGAGAUGACAUGGGUUUUGUUUGUUUGACUUUAGUAUAAGUUCCUAUUACAAAGGGACUUUAUUUUCACUCUUUGAAAAUGAGCAGACAAAUCUUUAUUUGUAAGGAAAACGAAAUUUCAAGU